rnacentral:lncRNA from 1 species
UACGCAUAAAUCAUGUUUUUAUUUUGAAAACAUAGCGUUCUUUGGCGUUGGCUGAGUUCACCCUCACGUGGUGGUUUAGCGUGAAGUGAACUCUAAAGUAUUAACCUCAGGAGUUAUCCACCCGCGUCUCUCAUACUGAGGUAAGAUAUAACGGGGUUUACCGUGCCCCUCUAAUAGGCUGAUCCAUGAAAACUCGCCCACUGCAGUAAGCUAAUCAAUAUCUCACCAUACAAUAAAAAUUCAACAGCAUGACAUGACAAUUUUAUCAUUAUCCAGCCUAUCAAGGCAAACAACAUUUUAUACAUUUCAACACAAAUACCAAUUCAACCAUUCAUGCUAAUAUUAUUAUAAGCCAAUCAAUUAGAACCAUAAAUUCAUAAUACAUCAAAUUGUCUCCAAUUACUUUAUUUGAAAAGCCAUCAUUCCAUUUUAAAACAAUGUUAUGAUAUUAUUUCAUUAAAUCACAUUUUGUUUAUAAAAUCGAAAAAUUAAUCAUUUAAUUCAUUUUCCAUAAAAUCACAAAAUCGGAUAAAAAUCACUUUAGAUAUUUAAGACGAUAGUAAGGUUACUCACUAUUUCGGGAGUCGAAUUCCAAGUACUCUAAUUCUUAAUUCCUCGGGUACUAUCAUUUUACUUUUGUCAGAAUACUCACCACCUAAACAUAAUGCACAAUAAGCCAUUUACUACAUUGUGCUAAAUUGUUAUAAAACCAAUUCAAGGUUUAUACUAAUGUAUGAAAUGAGAUGCAAAUUGUUCGGAUUACCGUCUAAACACGGUAUUCUACACAAAUUCAUUUGGGUCCCUAAUUAGAUCUGUAUUGGCCUAAUUCGUCUUAUUACCCGAUUAAUUGGCCAACGCGUCCAAUUUAGCUCCAAAUUGCUCUAUUUCUUUUCCAAUACCUUAAUUCACCAAACAUAAGUCAAAUAACCUAAAAUUUGGCAAAUCCAUCUUCACUUUUCUUCUUAGAAUUUUCGGUCAAUAAUGGUGCAUCAACACCGUGAUUUUUCCUACUACUUUUCCACACCAUAAUUCAUCAUUUUCUAACCAAUUCUUUUAAAAUAAAAAUCAAAUUCAUCCUCACUCAAUACAAGGUAGGUUCGGCUAUUGAUGGGUGAUGGGGAAAAUGAAUUCUUUUCUUAUUGUUUUGCUUCUAAACAUGGUAAACUAACUAAAAACACUAACAUAACUUGAAAUCAAAUCAAUCCAACAUCAUUCUCUCUCCAUACCCAUUCGGCUAGCCGUGAAUUCACCAUGAAAACAUGAAAUUUAACCAUGAAAAAUAAGGAGAAAUGCUUAAGGAAAAUAGAUUUCAAGUUUAAAUAGUGAAAUCCUACCUUUUUCACUUGUCUUCCUUGAUUUUUCACAUUUUUUCCUUUGAAAUUCUCCACUUAGGGUUCUUGUUCUUUCUUUU